GGCUUUAUUCAAAGACCCAAGAGGUACAGGUGCAAGGAAGGGAAGAAGGGCCUGUCCCGGAGGCAAGCCCCGCGGGAGACAUUUUAACGGUACUUGGAGGUCAGCACGGUGCUCACAGAGGCAAGGAAUUUGUCCAGAGAGGCGUGCACCGCGGGGGUGAAAUCAGCAGGGUGGUGGCUAGCCAAGGUCACCAGCAGGCAGUGGCUCAGGAGCUGCGGAGACAGGAAGGGUCAGUCCAGAGUAGUAGCACCCUGCUGCCUCUGUUCCCCUUCCUGGACCCACUGUGUUCCCUUCCCUGGGUGCGGGGACCCCAAGCCCUCCUUGCAGGUCCCUGAUGCUCCCUGCCGGGUCCUAGCACUCACCUUGAAGUUGACGGGAUCCACACGCAGCUUGUGGGCAUGCAGGUCGCUCAGAGCGGACAGGGCACCGGGCAGGUCUUCCAGGUGGCCUGCAGCAUUGGCCAGAGCAUCAGCGACCUUCUUGCCGUGAGCCUGGACCUGGGCGGAGCCGUGGCUUA